UUAGCCUCAUAUACUAGUAGUGGAAAUAAAACAUGACUUCCUAAAAAGUUGACACGAAAAAUAGUUUCAUACAACUUGACAUACACAUUUUGAUAGUGUUCUUUUUUAUGACACUAAAACGAUGACACACAAAAAGAAGGUCAUAAAUUUAUUGAAUUUUGUAAAUUAUGACAUUUUUUUUCUUGACACGCGUUUUAUAACGUCAUAAAAUGAGCCGUGUGUCAUUAUUCGCGUGUCAAGAGAGGUGUAUUUUUUAGUAGU
rnacentral:lncRNA from 1 species